UUGUGGAUACUAUUUUCUAUGAGGCACAAAGACAAGGAAGAAUAUCAUUUUAUCUGACAACAAUUGGUGAAGAGGCAAUCAAUAUUGCAUCUGCUGCAACUCUUAACAUCAAUGACUUUGUCAUUCCUCAGAUCAACAAAGAACUUGCUGUGAAAAUGUAUGCUGACAUGACAACACUGCAAGUUAUGGAUACUAUUUUCUAUGAGGAACAAAGACAAGGAAGAAUAUAAUUUUAUCUUUUUUUUUUAACAUAAAUGACUUUUUCUUUUCCUCAGGUUUUACUUUUUAUGAUCUUUUAUAAUUACUUUCAUAGAUUAAAAUCAUCAAAAAUUUGAACGCAUCUAAAGACAAAAAGAUCCUUUAUACCUUUAAGAAAUAUAAAAAGAAUUGAUCUUGUUAAUUAAAUAAGUCAAGUUUUAGUAUUUACCUGAACUGAAUCACUAUUCAUGAUUAUAUGUCCAUUUUCAUUAAACACUCGAUAACAAUGAGCCCUUUCCUCUAUAGUUUUAGAUGUGAAAGUUAGUUUUGGGAUAAAAUUGACUUUUCCACCUGGAAAAUCUAGGUCUUCCCUAGAAGGAGCUUCAUUAGAGAACUGCAUCAGGGUAUGUGUGUUAAUAGGGGUAUAAAAAAAAUGAAAGUGAUUAUUCAUAAACGAUAUGAUAUUUUGUAGUUGUUCUGAUUUAUAUAUGUAUCUCCACGUAACCCCCUGGCCCCACAAAUUAUUGCAUACUAUAAUUUUUUCAGUCAAGUGCACCCAACUCAAAGAUACAUGUGGUCAAUUGAUGUGUAUGCUAGGUUUGUUGUUUCUAUUUAAGCAAUGUACUUAACUACUUAUCCUUUUUUUAUACAAAAAUUUAAUUUUAAGUUUUUAUGUUGGAUUUAUUCAGUUGUGGAAUGAAUGGUUACUUGUGGUUGUGUGAGAGAAAUGGUUUCAGGAUGGUGCUUCCUACCCUAAUUAAUGGCUUAGGGGAUAUUAUGAAUAACCAUGUCAUAAAUGUGACGUAUAUAAAUCCAACACCUCAUAAACAUAUUCCAGAACCUCCAAAAGGUGUAGUCAUGCCAAAGAAGGAGUACCUAAUUGUGAGUCCCCGGGAUUUAAGAGAAAUGAUAUUUUGGUCAUCUUGUGGGAAAAGUGGAAAAUGAGGGACAAGUAUGAAAUUUGGGGACUCGCCGAGUACGCCCAGCGUAAGGCGUAAGUGGACGCGGGUGCAAGGUUGAGUACGCCCAACGUACUCUCAGAGUUCUAAAACCCUAAAAUUAGGGUCAGCCACUAUAUAAGGAACAUGGUGCAUACCCUAGCCUCCAAAAGCUCUCCCUUAACCUCAGAAACCCUAGAUAGCCGUUCCACCUCCAUUGUUGGGUGUGUUUGGCCUUGAAAAGGUUAUUUUGGCAAGGAGAGCAUAAAGGAAGAAAGGAGAAGUUGUCAAAGAAGGAGAGAAACGGUUGGAGCUUAUAGAUCUGGGAAGACAUCAUCCUUUGGAGCCUAUUUGAUAUAAAGCUUCUUGCUUGACAUUCAUAUUGUGUAGAUCUAUGUGUUGUGAAGCUUUGACACCAUUCUUGUCCCAAAAGUCCUCAUCUUGAUGCAUGUUUUGAUUUGGCCGAGAUUAUCUGCCCUUUCAGACCUUUGGAGAGGUCUUGAGUGAGAAAAAUGAGGUCCCAAGGGUUGUGGUUGUUUCUUGGGUGAGAUAUGUGGGUCUUAAUGGAUUAAGACCUUGGAUUAAGAGCUUUAUGGACGUCCCAAGUGAUAAAGUUUGAGACUUUAUGAACCUUAGGCAUGUUUGGCCUAGGGAUCUAAAGUUUGGGCUUAAGAGCUUAAGUCAUUAAGAAGUUAUGGGGACUUAAUGAGUAGCGAAGUUACGUCCCGCGUAACAAGUGAGUAUGCCCCGCAUAGCGAUUCAGUGCCCCGAUCCCCUGUUGUGAAUUUGCCUGUACGCCCAACGUACCAAGGAGGGUACGCCCAGUGUACUCCCACUGUUGGGUUUUCAUUUUGGGCCUUAGGGUUUGGGCUGUUAUUUGGGCUACUGGAUUUUGGGCCGUGACUUGACAUUAUGGUUAGAGUAUUGUGGGCCCAUUGGUUGUUAUGGAUCAUGAGUUUAGGCCCUUUGGUGAGGUGGGCCCAAUUUAGUAAAUUGGGCCAAUAAUGGGCUUUGUUUUGGACUUCUGGACUUUGGGCCAUUAGUGGACUUGGGAGCUUACCUAGUGUUGGGCCGGAUUGAGUUAGGAGUAAAAUGGUCAAUUUACCCUUAGAAGAGUAUUGUGCUUGGCCUAAUGUUUAUUUGUGCUAUGUUGGCUAGUUCGGAAUUUUCGGUGAGUCGGUGAUUCGAGAAUCUGCGUCUUCAGUUCAGAGUUUCGGCAGUGCGAGGUGAGUUAUCCUCACUAUAUCAACAGGGUCUAAGGCACCAAGGCCGACCCUUUAUCGGAUUGAGAUCCGGGUAUUGUUGUUAUGUUAUUGCUUUGAUAUGUUUGCAUCCUGGUAGUUAGGAUGGUGUAUGUUAGAGACCUGGUUGAGGUCGGUAUCCUGAUAUGUAGGGUGAUGCUAUGCUAGUGACCGGUUAGGUCGGUAUCCUGGUUAGGAUGGUGAUAUGCUAUGUGAUUUGUUUGAUCGGCUUGAUCUAUGAAUUGAUAUACGAUUGUAUGUUUAUGUGCACAUGGUUGAUUGGACUGGAGUUGGGUUGAGGCGGGUCCUACUUUGUGCUAUAGGCCAAGAUACCCAGAGCGGACCGGUUGUCCCGAAGGCCUAGCAAGCGGUCUGGAUAGGCUAUAGGCCCCAAGAGGACGGACCAGACAUGCCAAGGCUCGGAGAGUGGACCAGGCUGACUGAAGGCCCGGUGCGGGCGGACCAGUCAUACUGUAGACUUAGAGAGUGGACCAGGUGGAUUGAAGGCCCGGUGCGGGCUGACCAAUCACACUGUAGACUCGAUGUAUAUGGCUAGACUCGGAGGGAGGACCAGGUGGACUGUUGGCCGGUGCGGCGGACCAGUCACACAGUAGACCCGAAAUGCAUGGCUGUUCUGUGAUCGGAUAUGAUAUGGCAUGUUAUGCGUGUAUGGUAUAUGUGGUUGGUAUUUUGGGGAUAUCUCACUAAGCUUUCGGGCUUACAGUUGUGGUUUAAUGUU